UCUUGCUACGUUGUCCCAAUUCGCUGCUUCGUUGAUCAGGAACCAAGUCGCUGAAAUGGCGUGGGAAGAAGAUGUAAGGUUGUCGCUGCUUGGUGUCAUCAGGUUUAAUUUGUUUUAUUUCUUGUGGUUAGCAUCUGAUGUGGAGCUAUUUCUAUUUGUUUAUUUGCAGCUUGUUUGUGAGUAUCUAUGUGGACCGAAUUUCAUGUUUUGGCUUUGACUGCUUGUUUGGAUAUUGAUUGUUAUUGAGUUUCUUUUCUUAAUCUCCCAAAGCAUAUUAUUGGUUGGUUACUCUUAUAAACCCAGUCUCAAAAUUGGAUGGUCUGGCUGUGCUAAUCGAUUGCAACAUUUUUUGUCUUCUUAUUUUAAUAGAAGGAGAUUAAUUGGCAACCUGCAAGUAAUAAGACAUAGACUGAAACUUUUUCUAUCGAAAGAAAAUUGCUCUUGGAGAAAUUUAUUGUUUACUUCUGUCUCGUGAAUAUUGAAUCCAAAUGCCUCAUCCUCCAAUCAUGGAACUGCAUACCAACUGUAAUCCAAACUGGUGUUUUCUUGAUAGAUAAUCUAUUUGAUUGUCACGACCUGUUGAAAUUAAGUUAAAAAAUCCACCUUGACUAUUAGCCAGAUAUUUGGUCAAAGAAGAUUCUUAGAUGCAAAUUUUUGGCUGCUGCUGCUACGUACGGGUUUCGUCUUCUCUAUCAUAGUGGAGAUACUUAAAAAAUUUUCCUGAUCCUUCAAUUUUCUUAUGCUACAUACCCUGUUAGUACUCAAUACAUGUGAUCAGUUACUAUAUUAUGAGGCCAUUUUUGUUCUUCUGACUGCUAUAAAGGAUCUCUUGACAUGAAUUUUAAAUAAACUAUGAGACAGAUUUUAUUAAACAAUAGUACAAAUAACAUUUAUAAUACAAUACUGUCUAGUUAUUAGCUAUUCGGGACACUUCAAGAUACCCAAAAGUAAUAUUUAAUCACCAUCGUUUUUCUUCCUCCGAGAUGUAAGUGGUGGAAUACUUUGUUCAUUUCUGAAGAAAUUAUGAGGAUCAACCAUAGUCUUCACAUGAACCAACCUUUUGAAAUUGUUCUUGAAAUAUUUGUUGCCCCAAAUGCUAGCUUGUUCUAUGCUUGUGUAUCCUUGGUUAUUUGUUCCGAUGUCAAGAUCCCUGUAAUUGACAUAUGCUUCUCGGGGAUUUUUUGAAACAUAGGGUGUCAUGUAACUGUACAAGCUCCUGAUCCAGUCAAUAUGUCUUUGAGAUAUUCCAUCUCCUCUCCAAGAAACUCCGUAAAAAAUUUUGUAUAAGUUACCAGCUCUAUGUGGGAAUGGAGUCUCAGACUCUGAUAUCUCACUCAUUUUCCCACCAUAAGGAACCAAUACAAUGAAAGCCGUUUCUCCCUCUUCUUUAUAAAACUUAUCAUAUAUUCCUUCAAAUGCAUUUUCAGGGAUAGGCUGCUUGACGUAAUCUGCUUUUGCUUUGAAAGGACUUUUUGUUGUAGAUUUCACAACAAGCCCAUUGGAUCUAGCAUUCCUAUCAAGCAACAAAUCCAAGGACUGUC
rnacentral:lncRNA from 1 species